GAUGAACGCUGGCGGCGUGCCUAAUACAUGCGAGUCGAACGGUAACAGGUCUUCGGAUGCUGACGAGUGGCGAACGGGUGAGUAAUACAUCGGAACGUGCCUAGUAGUGGGGGAUAACUACUCGAAAGAGUGGCUAAUACCGCAUGAGAUCUACGGAUGAAAGCAGGGGAUCGCAAGACCUUGUGCUACUAGAGCGGCCGAUGGCAGAUUAGGUAGUUGGUGGGAUAAAAGCUUACCAAGCCGACGAUCUGUAGCUGGUCUGAGAGGACGAUCAGCCACACUGGGACUGAGACACGGCCCAGACUCCUACGGGAGGCAGCAGUGGGGAAUUUUGGACAAUGGGCGCAAGCCUGAUCCAGCAAUGCCGCGUGCAGGAUGAAGGCCUUCGGGUUGUAAACUGCCUUUGUACGGAACGAAAAGCCCUGGGUUAAUACCCUGGGGUCAUGACGGUACCGUAAGAAUAAGCACCGGCUAACUACGUGCCAGCCGCCGCGGUAAAAC
rnacentral:rRNA from 1 species